GGGCGUUGACCCAAGCUCCGUCUCUCUCUUCCUUCUUUCUCUCUCUCUCCGCUGCUCCAGCCUAGCUCCGUCGCGAUUCCAGCCGUCGCCGACCACAAGCCGCCGCCUCACCAGUCUAAAAUGGAUCAUCUCCACCCUUAUUUCCAAACCCGACCCUCAAAUCCGAAUGGCAUCCACACAAGAGAUCGAAGCGGAAGAACACAACUGUGUUCAUCGGAAUCUGAAGAAUUCCGGCAAGCUCAGGCAGCGAUGCGACCCUCUAAGGCCAUGUUUUCCGGUACCGGCGACUCUCGUCUCCUUCCCGACGACCUGUUGAGCAUCAAGAGGCCAAGGCGAACGUGUGUGGAGAUUUGAGGUGUUGCUGCUGCUGUGUCGAGCAAAACCCGAACCCAGUUUCUGACGAGAAGCUGCUGCGGGCAAGGAGGAGCUGCUGGACUCAUAAUUAGGGGGUAGAUUGAAGGUAAUCUUCGUGUUUUAGCUGCUGUGAAGUUCUGUGUUGUUGUUGGUUGUUGAGGUGUUGAUCCGGUUGUUUUGGUUGUUGUUGUCGAGAACUUGGUGCUUUGAAGAUUGCAGGGAGGUCAUGGCCAAUUUUCGGCAAGUGGCCGGAUUCUGGUAGAAUAUUCCGGUCAGUCGUCUGAAUCCGGCGAAAGGUUCUGGUGAGGCAGCGUAUUCAGCUGAGAGUCGUUAAGGUAGUUUUGAGUAUGAUAAAUGUUAUUAAUGCCUUAAGAGGAAUUUGAUGUUGGAGUUUAAAAUUUGUGGUCUUGAAGUCUAGGCAUAUUGUGAAGUGGGAUA